GGAUUCCCUGGGGAUGCGGUAAGGGCCCUCCCAGUUUGGUCCAAACACUCUUGACCCGGUCGGUUUUGAAGAUUGGAAGACCCUUCUGAGGACGAGGUCGCCUAGGCGAAGAGUUCUAUUUCUGACCUUGGAGUUAUAAUACCGGAUCAUCUUUCGAUGAUACUUUGCCAAGUUCACUUGGGAGGCAUCCCUCCUUUCCUCAAGGAGGUGCAGUUCGCUUAUUCGAACCUCAUCAUUACUGAUCUCAUUGAAGUGUAUCCGACGGUGUGAUGGGACCCCGACCUCGAUCGGGCUCAUGGCCUCGGCUCUGUAGAUCGUGGAAAAUGGUGUUUCACCUGUUGCAGUUUGGCUAGAAGUUCUAAUAGCCCAGAGGACGCGGGGGAGUUCGUCAACCCAGGCUCCCUUUGAGGUGUCAAGCUUCCUUUUUAGGGUAUACUUGAUAGUCUUGUUCACUACUUCAACUUUCCCAUUUGCUUGAGGGUGAUGAGGUGUUGAGAAGUCCUUCUUUAUGCCUAGUUCGUCGCAUAAGUCUCGCAUCUUCCUGUUGUCGAACUGCCUUCCAUUGCUAGACACUAAGGAGUUGGGAAUGCCGAACCUACAAAUGAUGUUCUUCCAGACGAAUUUAGUAGUGUUCACCUCGGUGAUCUUGGCAAGGGGUUCAGCCUCGGCCCACUUAGUGAAGUAGUCAAUAGCAACAAUGACGAAUGUUGCGCUUCCUCUUCCUUUUGAGAGCGGACCAAUGAAGUCAAUGCCCCACUUGGCGAAUGGGCAAGGGCUGGUUACUAUGGAGAGGCUCUGAGCAGGCUGUCUUUGUAUGUUUGAGAAGUGCUGGCACUUGUCACAUUUCUGGACAAAUGGCAAGCAUCCUUUUUCAAGGUCAGCUAGAACUAGCCUUAACGGAGAACCUUGUGUGCCAGAGCCGUUCCUCUGGAGUGAUUUUCACAAAUUCCCUCAUGGAUUUUCCUGAGUAUGUAUGUGGCCUCUUCACCUCCCAUGCAUCGAAGAAAUGGUGAGGCAAAGCCUCUCUUGUAAAGAGUAUCUUCUUGCAGGACGAAGUGUGCCACUCUUCUUCUUAACCUCCUCGCCUUGCUUCUGGAAGUAGGCAAUGUUUGAUCCUUCAGGUAGACGAUGAUAGGCUGCAUCCAUAAUGGGGUGCCUUCUAUCCAUGGUACCUCUUCACCUCUAGAAAUGGAGGGCUUCGAUAAGUGCUCAAUAGGGAUGACCUUUAGCAGCUCUGAAUCCUUGCUGCUGGCCAAUUUUGAAAGGGCGUCUGCAUGUGCAUUCUCUAGGUGGGGGAUUUGAGUCAGUUCGAACCUUUCAAAGUGAGGAACUAGGUCUAGAACCAACUUCAAGUACGCAAUCAUGCUACCAUCUUUGGCUGCAAAGUUUCCUUUGACCUGGUUCACUAUAAGUUGAGAGUCACUGCUCACCAGGAGACUUCUGACCCGCAUCUCCUUAGCAAGUCUAAGACCUAUCAGAAGGGCCUCGUAUUCAGCAGCGUUGUUCAAGGCUUUGAAGUCGAACCUUACUGCACAGUUUAGCUUGUGCCCUCCGGGCUUUCCAAGACGAUCCCUGUCCCUAAGCUAGUCUCUCUUGAGGACCCAUCAACGAAAAGUUUCCAUGUGGGGAGCUCGGCUGGUUCCAUUGUCGCCUCCAUUUCUGGGGCUUUGGCAAACUCAACCAUAAAGUCUACGAAGGCCUGGCCCUUGAUCGCAUGUCGGUGUCGAAAUAAUAGAUCGAACUCACUGAGCUCGAUUGCCCAUUUUAGCAGGCGCCAUGAUGAGUCUGUUUUCUGCAUCACCUACUUCAAUGGGAAAUUGGUGAGAACUUCGAUCGAGUGGGCCUGGAAGUACGACCUCAGUUUUUGUGAGGCUGUGAUAAGGGCGAGUGCUAGUUUCUCCAUGUCUGGGUAGUGUGUUUCAGCUGGGAGAAGUGCUUUGCUGACAUAAUACACUGGCAACUGGCGCUCACUUUCUUCUCUGACUAGGACGGCGCUGACCGCCACAUCCAAAAUCGCUAAGUACAACAGUAGUUACUCAUCCGGUUGAGGUUUUGACAAGAGGGACGCCUCUCCGAGGUGCUUUUUCAGCGCCUGGAAGGCUUCCUCACAUUCCGAAGUCCAUUGAAAUUUCUUUCCUUAUUUCAGCACAUUGAAAAAAGGUAAGCUUUUAUCUGUGGCCCUAGAGAUGAAGCGACUGAGUACGACUAUCCGACCAUUGAGGCUUUGGACCUCCUUUGGUUUCUGAGGUGACCUCAUCUCUAGCAAGGCCAUUAUUUUCAUUGGAUUUGCUUCAAUUCCUCUUCGAUUGACAAUAUACCCCCAAAACUAACCCGAUGCCACUCCAAAGGUGCACUUGAGGGGAUUCAAUUUCAUAUUAUACUUUCUAAGUAUCUGAAAAGUUUGGUCGAGGUAACUUACGUGUUCGGCUGCUUUGAGGCUUUUGACUAGCAUGUCGUCCACAUAGACUUCCAUGGUUUUGCCAAUGAGUUCGGCAAACAUCAUGUUGACCAAUCUCUAAUAUAUAGCUCCAGUAUUCUUCAAUCCGAAGGGCAUGACUUUGUAGCAAUACAGACCUCUGUCAGUAAUGAACGAUGUAGCUUCCUCAUCAGGUCGGAACAUGGGUAUCUGGUUAUACCCUGAGUAUGCAUCCAUGAAGCUCAGUAGUUCAUGUCCAGCAGUGGAACCCACAAGUUGGUCUAUUCUUGGAAGUGGGAAGCUGUCCUUAGGGCAGACCUUAUUCAGGUUUGUGAAGUUUACGCACACCCUCCACUUCCCGCUGGAUUUUUUUACCAGAACCGAGUUGGAUAUCCACUUCGGGUAGAUGACUUUCCUUAUGAAGCCACUUUGGCUAAGCUUGCUUACUUCGUCUUUCAGUGCCUCGUACCUUUCCGGAAUGAGGGCAAGUCUCUUCUGUCUAUGGGGGCACAAGAGGGGUUGAUGUUAAGGUGAUGGCAACUGAUCCUCGGAUCUAUUCUCACCAUAUCUUCAUGCUUCCAUGCGAAGAAAUCCAAGUUCCUUUUCAGGAAGCUUAUCAUCUCUACUUUUGCUUCAGGAGAUAAUGCCUUCCCUAUACACAAGACCUGACUGGGGUCUUCGGGGCUGGCGGAGAUAGUCUCCAAUUCUUCCAUUGGGGUCGCAUUUGGUUCAGAGUUAAUUAUUCGGGGAUCUAACUCAUCAAGAGGGUGUCCUUGUUCAGGGGUCUCUUCUAUGUCGACGUCUUCCUCUUACUCAGAGAUAUGCCCUUGUUUAGGGGCGUCGAGCAUUUUCACAUCUGUACUGGCUUCAGUGAGAACUUUAGUUAUGAUUACAUUAAUAGUUCGAGGCUCCGACUUUCGCAGUGAGUUCAAGUAGCAUGCCUUGGAGCCCAUCUGGUCGCCUUGAAACAUCGCAAUCCUAUGUUCAGUUGGGAAUUUCAUGCACAAGUAGUGGAUGGAUGUCCAAAGAUCUUUCAAUGCGGGUCUGCCCAAUACCCUAUGAUAGGCCGAUCUGUGGUCCACCACUAAGAAUUUCAUGAAAUGUUGGGCUACUAGGGUGCUGAACCCAUCUCGACGGGCAGAGUGAUCCGCCCUCGUGGAACGAUACUAUCUCCAGUGAAUCCAAAUAAUGGGUCGGUCAUGGGGAUCAACCCAUGUUCAAUUUGCAUUUUGUCAAAGGUGGAGCCGAACAGUUUGUUCACCGAACUUCCACUGUCGACGAGCAUGCGUUUGAGCCCAUUUCUGGCCACAACAGCUCUCACAACCAAUGCGUCGCAAUGGGGAUGGUGAACUCCCUGCGCAUUUUCCUGGGAGAAUGUAAUUGGGGCCAUCUUGUUGGCCUCUUGGGACUCGUUUACAAUGUAAGUGAUCAUUGGUGGGUCCUUCGCUUUCCUUGUAUAAUUCAUUUGGGCAUUCCUUGUGUUACCGCCGAUGUGAGGUCCCCCAAUGAUAGUGUCGAUUUUCCUGAUGACUUGGCCCCUAGCAAAUGGGGCCUGAUCUCUCUCUCUCUGAACUCUCCUCGAUCCCGAGAUUCCUUUCUCCGAGGUGACUGCUCUCUGUGCCUUCAAUCUCCCAUGUUCGGGGAGACAAUUCUACGAUGAUAGUCAUUCCUUCUGGAGAGAUGUAGGUCGGUCCGAUCUGAGCGUCGAGGAACGUCUCUGCAUUCAUUGAUGUCAUGCUUAUAUAGUUGAUGGAAAGUGCAAAACCUCGCUCCUUCCAAGGGCCUGUUUGAUCGUUUCUUUUUCUUUUUCUUGCUAUCGGUUCUUCCAGAUGGCCCUGUUUCAUCAGGAGCAUUUUCAUAUGCCAAUACCAGCACUGUAUUUAGUGUGGCAGAAGCCAGUGCCUGUUCGGAGGUGGGAGCUAUUGUAUGACUUGCCUGAGUCCAUUGCUGAGUAACAAGGUGUACUGGGGGUCCUCGACCUACCUGCCUCUGAGGUGGAGGGAGUCCCUGCGCGGUACGAUUUCGGUGAUCAAUCAUUUCUUCACUCACAAUUUCCACUCUCAUCAUUUCCACCAGUUCGGCAUAGGUGGAGGGAUUCAUGCUGCGCACAUCCUUCCAGAACAAAGUAUUCAUGUUGAGCCCGCCUUUUAUGGCUGAAAGGGCUUCUCUGUCAGUGAUCUGUUCACAGUAGGUGAUUUCGUCUAUAAACCUGGAUAGACAGCUUUUCAGCGUCUCCCCAGAGGCCUGCCUCAUAUCUUGCAAGUGUUGCACUGGUGCCUCUCCUUCUUUGCGUAAGAGGUAUUGGUUCAAGAAUGCGUUCUUCAAAUCUAGCCAACUUCUAAUGCUUAGGAGAGGAAACCUGCUGUACCACACUUCAGUGGCUCCGCCUAGUGUUAAAUGAAAGGCUCUACAUUUCAAAGUGGGCGAGGCUCCUCUUAAGCUCAUCUGUGUCAUGUACUUGGUGAGGUGCUUCUCCGAGUCCCCCUUUCCUUCAUACUUGGGAAUCUUAGGAGGCAUGAAAUUUGUUGGCAUUGGGAAGCUUCGAAUCUCCCUUGAGAAAAGGAGGUUAUCACCAUCAUCGUCAAGCUCAUAAGAUCGACAGGGCCCAUCUAACCCUUCAUCAUCUUGAAUGUUCUGGGGAGGUGGAAGUGACCCUUCUCGACUCCUCCAAUUAACUAGGUUCCUCAUGUCCCUCCUAUCUCUAGAAGGAGGAGGGGCCUGUUCUUGUUCCUGAUCCGGUCGAAUUGAUCUUCUCACAGGGCGGACCCUACUGCUAGGAUCCUCCCCUAUUCGAUCGAAGACACUUACGGAUCUCCGUUCUUCAUAUUCUUGAGGAAAGUUAUCCCCUAAGUGGGGUUCUGAUGGCUGGCUCCCUUGCACAUAAGAUGUGGCCUCGGCGCCCACUUCUCUUUCGAGGAGGCGUUCUCUAUGCUGACUGGUGUGGCCUCAGGAAUGAGAUACUGGGGCUUCCUGCACUGGGUAAGGUCCUUGGGGCAUUUGAGAGCCCGGGUGACCUCGGGCUUGCAUGAGGAGUUCAUGCAUUGCCAUAUUCUGAGCUGCGAUGUCUCUCAUACUCGCAGCUAUUUGAGUCAUUUCUUCAAUGAGUAUGGCUGUUCGUCCUCCUUGGCGACGCUGGUGAUGGGGUCUCUGAUGAGUAACAUUGUUAUGGAGCACCUCUUCUUCAGAGGCCUCUCUCAUGGGGUUGUCGUCUUCAUGGCUAUAGCUCAUCCUAUCUCCUUUUUCUAGGGUGGUGAGAACUUGGAUUGUAACUCGACUUUGUUCUUUUUCAAGAACGUGCCCUUUUCAGGGUUAAUCGCUAGUUUUUCAGUAACUUCUCCGGUGGAGAAUGCAGAACUCUGAAUGGGAAGUGUUUCCCACAGACGACGACAAUCUGUUGACCUCGAAAAUUGGACCUUUCACGUGGCCAACCGAUAGCUACUCCACAUAUUCCUCCCUGCGCACAAUCAAAGAACGGUCAGACGCACACGAUUGGGACCAGCGGGAGUGGUGGCGGCCGUAUAUAUUCCAACGAUCAAGUCAGAUUCAGAUGGUCGGAACAGUACCCAGAGGUUGUGUCAAAAACACUAAGGAGGAGGAGAAAAUAUAUAAACUUGCUAUGGAGUGCUAUGUAGUAAGAGUUUCAUUACCCUUGCCUCUUGCCAAACCUUAGGUAUUUAUAGGUGGGAUGAACUGUUGGAUGUGGGACACGUGUAUACAUCUGAUGGUAUGAGACGUCCACUCAUAGACGUCAAUCAGCCGCGUCUAUAGAGUGGGCGACAGUUUGUUUCUCCCGAGUUGAGUUCACAUAAAGUUGAUAAGUCACGUCAACUAGCCUCAUGGAGAUAUCAAAUCAAUUUAAACCUUAGGUACAGAGAGGAUCUUGGCAAAAAUCUCUUUCUGAAAUUGGCGACGGAUCUUCUGACAGAGGUCCACUUCGCCUCGGCCUCAGGGGCGAGGGCGCUUCGGUCAGUUCAACAGAAUCGCCUAUGUCUCGCAGUGUGCUAUCAGAUCGUUGACAUUGGUGAGAUCACUUCGGAAACACUUCAGAUGGAUGUCUAUCAGGUCGGAAUGUGUGGUGGUGGGCAUUUCGAGGCGGUUCAGAUAGGGGCGUAAUAGUUACAACUAAUUUGUCCAUUUCAUCAAAUUAAAGGUAAAAAAAAUUUUAAAAAAAAAAAGUUGAAGACAAAAUCUUAUAAUUAUAAACCAUCCUGUUUCGCGCGGGCUAGUUGCUAACAAUUAAAAAUGGAUCAGACGAUUGUGUGAGGGACAAACCUCUUGAGACAAAGUCCCAAAAAGGGGUGUUUUUAUUGGCGAUGACUUUACAAUUGGAAAAUAAAAACAGAAUGCCUCCAAGGGGCGCAAGCACACGAGUUACUGAAAAGAAGUGUUUAAAUCUAAACUAAGAAAUUAAAAGUUACAUAUUCUCUGUUUGAGAGUGUUCAAUUCGGGUCAUUUACUCUAUGUCUUUUCUUCUUUUUAUACCCCUGGGUGAUCUCUUUGUGAUCAACCGCUUAAAAAUUGCUUGAUCGCUCUAUAACUGCCCACUUUCUUCGUAAUGGCCAACUUGUCAUGGAACUGCCUUCUCUAACUGCUGUCAUUAUUUUUUGUCGUUCAACCGUCUUAAAUUGAAUUUCUUGAAUCGUGGAAUGUGAUAGGGCUACUCAAUAACUUCUUCAUUAACCGCACCUUUGGGUAACCAUACAUCUUAUGUUUGCUAAGAUCCUGGGCGACUCGAAGGUUUGGGCGAGAACAGGUUCACAGUUCUGGGCGACUGCAUGGCAAUCCAUUCGCCCAAAUCUUGGGCGACUUGUAACCUUGGGCGAUGGUAUGGGCUUCUCUAUUUGGGCCUUUAUCCUGCAUUGCCUGAUUGGGCCGUUCUUUGGUCUAUCUGAUUUGGGGAUCCUCCAAUUGGGCUUCAUUCCUUGGGCUAUUCGAUUUGGGCUGAACUUUUGUGUGUCAACAAUUACCCCCCAAUAUGGCAGAAUUAAUACCAAUUAUUAAUUUUUGCCAUAUUCACUUUGUGUUUCCCAGCAACAUUCGAAAUUUUCAAGAAUUUCAAUCAUUAUUUUCUUCCAUAGCCUGAAAAGGUGCGAUGUUUGCAAACCCUUAUAACCCCCAAAUACACGCCAUUUCAUUGCACCACUAAAUUACGCCUCAUUGUUUCGUGCUUCUCUCUUGCAAUAUUACUUUUCAUCUUCUUGCUUCUCUGCUACGUAACUUCGACAAACUCUAUUUCGUUCCUAAUGGCUGCUUCACAAUCCCAGUCUGGUGACUCCUUCAGUUUUGAAGACUUCCAAAACCUUCUCACUCGGCCAUAUAUAACUCCGAACUUCCUUGCACCAGCCAAUGUUGAACUCAAUGAGUUCUAUCCAGGUCCUUCUUUUAACAACGCCGAAGCCAUCAAAUAAGCGACGGUCGGUCAGCUAUUUCCUUACACUCAGGGCCCUCCGUUUCUAAACUCUUUGCCGCUGAGACCGCUUCGCGAAAGAGAUAUUCGCACUUGGCCUAAAUCUGAUGUUGUUUUCCGUAGAUGGCAUGCUCGCCUUGUGGACCUAAGGUAAUUUUUCAUAGUGCUAGGAUUUCUGAUUUUUUAGAAAUCUCUCUUCAACCCCCUAUUUUUGACCCAGCACUUUUUCCAAUCGCUUUAAGUUUUUGGUCUUUUGAGUAUAAUACUUUUAUUUUUCCUCUUGGUCCCAUAUCCAUUACCUUAAGGGAUGUUGGGGCCCUAGUAAAUCUGCCACCUUUGGGCGAUACCAUUUUUCCUGGUAUUUUGAUUUUUGGUGUUGCCCCAAAAUUUGAUAGAAAACUCACCGAGUCUUAUUCAAGCCUGCAAGCCUGUCAUAACCACUCGAGUGCUGAGCCUUCCCAUACUGAGCGUAUAGCUUUUCUUCAGAUUUGGCUUUGUAAAUACAUUUUGUGUGUGCCAAGCCUGAAGCCCUCCAUGAGCUAUUUACUCAUAGCGCACGAAUUGGCGAGUGGUAGGCCUCUGAAUUAGUGUUCUUUCUUUUUAACUGCCCUCUAUAGAGGCAUGGCUUCUCUUCAAUCCCAAUUGAAGAAUGUUGCAUCUUCCACUGGCAGUGGGCCUCUUUGGUUCACUCAAAUGUGGUUGAGAGCCUAUUUUCCAUCGCUUGCUGCUCCAUCCUUUUCCAGUCUUUCUGCUAGCUACUAUGGGCUAGCCAUUGAUCCCCUGACUCCUGUAAAUAUAUCCAGAAGGGACAUUUUUUCAUUCUUUUAUACUUUGGAUUCAAUCCCUUCCUUCUUUCCUUUUUCUCCCUUUUUGACUCCGGAUUAUGUGUAACCUCCAUCCACUAUGGAUAGUACGAGCACUUCUUUGUUCAUUUGGAUUCAAUUUUUGACAGGGAGGGAGUUGUUCCAUGAUAUUUUGACUGGAACCAAUGCUAAAGCUGGGGUUAAAAUAUACGCUCCCCAAUUUUUUGCUCACCAACUUGGCUUUGGCCAAACUUGGCCCGUUCCCCCUUGCUAUUCAAGAAAUUUAAUAGACCGCUUCCACACCAUUAAUAAGGCAGAGGCAGAAGCUAUAAAUGCUCGCAAUAUUCUUUUGACGAGCAACUUUUCAUUAGCCCCUUUCAAUCCUAGUCGUGCCAUCCAUCCCCUUUUUGAACGACUCUGGCCGUCAGUGAAGCACAGAUUGUUUGCGACUAAUGCCAGUCGUGCUUGCCAUUCACUGGACCAGUCAAACAUUUCUUCCACCUCUCCUAUUUUGGUCAUACCUGUGUCCACUGCAGCUAAAAGUACCCCAACCCGCAUACGGCCAAUCUCAGCAUCUCCUAUUUCGGAGGAUGAUGCUAAUGAUGAUGAUGACACCCCUCUCAUCGUCAGGAGAAAGGUAAUUAAAUUGGUUUACUCACAAGCAUACCUUUCCAUACUUGAAACUUUUCUAUAUGCUGAUGGUUUAUUUGGAUUUCUCAGAAAAGUUCAACCUCUCUCUUGAAAGCUUUGGUGUUGGCAGCUCCCACUCCAUCAUCCUCUGUUGAGGCUGGUUCAUCCAAACCAACUGAUGAAGGAACUACGCUUAAAGAGAAAUCUUCAGUCCCAUAAUCUUCAUCACAACCAACGAAUGAGCCACCUUCUUCCCAGGGCGUCAACCCCCCAAAAGUCGAAGCAGAAGGUUAUUCAUUUUUUGAUGCUUCACCUUUGCUUGUGCUAUUGGUUUUUGAUUUGUUGCUUUUUGAGUUCUGCAGAUGAUCCCAUGAGUCUGUCCCUUGCGACAAGUUCUUCUCGCUUAGACAAGGGGAAGUCAUCACGAAUGGUCGAGCCGCAGGUGGUAGAUUUGACUGGGGAUAUGCCAC
rnacentral:lncRNA from 1 species